UAAGUGGUAUGCGGUCAAUAAACGUUUCGUUCGUGGGCUGACGCACGGGCUCUCCUCCCCCCGCGCAGCGCCCCCGAGCUCCAGAUCGGGAGGGGAGCUCCCGAUCCAGAGCCCCUCGCCGCCGCGCUGCCUUCGCGCUCGGCCUCGCCACCGGCCGCCGCGCCGCCGUCGACCGUAGCCGGACCUCCACGUCUCGCGCCCCCUCUUAUGGAUCAGCCAUGGCCACCGGCCGCCGCGCCGCCCACCACGACGAGCUGCUCAGCACUCUCCUCGCCGCCGCGGGCAACGGCCGGGAGGAGGAGGAGGACGCGCGGGAGGCGCGGCAGCAUCAGAAUCAACGCGUCGAAUCCGGCCUCGGCUUACGGCGACACGGACCUGGAUGCUCUGGUUGCGACCGCCGUGCUCUAUGCCCCGACCCUGCUCGCCGAGUCCGUCCGACCUGCUGAUCUCGCCGGCCAGCGACGGGAGGAGGGUGGCAAGCUGAGCCGGAGGAGAGCGAGGCGUCCACGUUACUUUAAGUGCAAAGCAGAGGAACACACACACACUCAGGCACGAGCACAAGCUCUCCUCGCCUAUGGGUACGGCGCCGCCGCCGCCAUGCGCGGCCGCGCGGAGCGGAGGCCGUGAUGGCAAGGCAGCCCUUUGGAGUCGCUCCUCCCUGACCAGGCCCAACCCCGCUCCACCAGCUCGACCUCCUAUUUCCUUCCCAAUGCCGGGCACUGCCCGCUCUCCUCUCUGAUUUCCGGCAUGGAAAACCCUCUUCUCCGACUUUCGGCCUCUCCCCAACCUCUGGCCGGUGCUGCGGGACAUAUACAACAUCUGCCCUCCAUGCCAUUGCAACUUCCAGCCUCGACGUCCAUCGCCUUCUCUAGAUCCAGCGGCCAUCUGCACGGCUGCACGCCAACUGUUCGGUCAAUUGACCCAACAGACACGAGCCUAGAGAAUGGAGAGAAAGAGGAGAAGUUGUCUUCAGCACCAUACUGAACUAUUGAAGCAACAGGAAGAUGAGUGUAUCAUGCAAGAGGAGAUCCUGGCCACCGUCCUGUGCCUCGGCGACCAGUAUGACCAUGUCCUCGCGUGCCUCCUGCUGGUUGAUCCGGUGCCAGCAACUGUCAUCUUCCCAAAAUUUAACUGGACAUUUGAAUGUUCUUAAUUUUUUUUCUUCUGAAAUGAACAUAGCUGUGAGUUUUUUUUAUGGUGAAAUCAAGUUCUGACGGAAUUUACAAUAUACUUUGUAUUGUUGUUUUUUAGGUCUUACACACCUCAUGUACCCAGGGCCAUCCACACCCAUUUUGACCGUUCAUUAGAUGUUUAUCGGCUAGCAGGGGAGGCCAUGAACAAUCUUUAAAAAAAACCAGGUGCAAGUGCUGAGUUAUAACGCGACAUCGACGACACAAAAGCCAGUAUGUUUGAGCUAAGGGAACGAGCUAGGGACAGUACCACCCGGCUGCCCCAGCACUUAAGCUGACUGUCCAAUUCCACUUUCAUCCAUGGAGGCUGCGGUUUAAUUCUCAGGUUUGGCAACCUUUUCUCUCUACGGCUGAGUGUUGUAGUCCUGUCAAAUGAAGCAGUGUUGUUUUUGCAAUAUAGAACAGAUAUAUAAGGUGCUUCCAAUUUCUUAAUCCCAGAAUUGACGAGACCUUAUUUAGUUUGGACUCAUAAUAAUGUGUCAAUUAGAAAUAGAGCAUUGUCAUUAUCACGGCGGAUGGAUGUAUAUCAUAUGUUCUCUUGUGUUGUAUUUUGGUGAGAAAAAAGGAGAAAUAUGAGAGGAACAGAGAGAGCAGAGAGAGAGGCUCACAUCACUGAACCCUUUUGGAUUCUAAUGCAAGGUUGGAUAAUAUGAAGUUUUUUGGCUUAUCGUUGCGCCUCAUGUUUCCGACCUGGCGUGGCUGUACACUUCUCGUACUCGACUGUUCGCCGGAACUUUGUCUGACCUGAGGUACAUACUGCAGUGUCAUCAAUUUGCAUCGGUCAUCAAAGACUACUUUUGUCUAUCAUUUAAAUUGCCACGAGUAUUUGAAAUUCAUUCUUCUUACUUUUUCAGAUAAUAUAGUAUAUACUAAUUUUGUUCAAGUAUAUACUACUUUUUAUCACUUUUACUUUUUCUCACCGGAUGCAUGCAUGCUUCUCCUCACAGGUUUCCCUUGGUUCAGUACUUAAUUUUUUUGGUGUAUACUUUCUCCUCGGCAGUGAAGUAUAUGUACGACAAGACAGAACAUAUACUGUUGAUCGAUACUGAAACACACCAUACAGAAAGGCCCUCUCUUCUAUACCCCUUUGCGAAAAAUAGUAUACUAUCAUUUGAAAAGAAAACACACCAUACACUCCUUUGUGACAAUGAGUAUACACUGAUCGUUAUUGCCAGUAUCAUAGGUAUAUACUCUGAGAAUAGUUGUAUAUAUCCCAUUUGAAAAAAUAGUAUGUAUAUACUCCUUGCAAAUUACUCCAUAUCGUUUAAUUGUUUUUACAUAAGACUAUCCGUCGAGAUACAAUAACUAAUUAGUAUUUUAAUAACUUGAAUUGCAUGGCUUGAUCGCUCUGCUUGGGUCUUCUCUUAUGUAUGAGUGCACCAUGUGCGGGUUAAUUUUUUUGGGUCUUCUAACUCUCUGGGAUAAUUUGCAUCUCUAUUUGUGCUAAUUGGCAAGGUGCAUGAAUAAUGAUUUAUCUAAGGUUUUUUGCUUAACGGAAAGGCCUUUUCAGUUAAAAAACCCUACUGAUUUGAUCAACAGAAUAUGCCUCUGUUUUUAAAUAGCAGUAGUUCCUCUCAACUUCUACUUAUUUAAUUGACUAUUUUGGUGUCAAGAUCCAAUAGCCUUGCUGUUAGUUAAUGCUAUUUAUAUUUUCUUCCAACAAAGUGUUUACGGCCAAAAAACUCGUCAUUUCCAGCAAAAACAAUGGCUCGCUCCCGCCAGGCCGCAGCAAAAGUUUUGGCCGGUCCCAUAAAAAAUAGUUCCAGCAAAAAAGAUUGUUGUCCCGGUCAUAGGUAUUGUAUGAUUCCACUCUACUCCUCUGUAGUUAUUUGGCUGAAGAUGUGCAUUAGUGGUUGGCUGUGAUAAUACAUAUAGUAAGAUUGCAUGUUAUGCUUAGCAGAGCUUAGCGGAAAUUUGCUAGAGGAGUUGCAACAGCCUUGAUCAAAUAUUAUUUUCAUUAUUCCUUCUUGGUUUUAGAUAAUCUUCAUCGAAAUUUGCUAGAGAAGUUGCAACAGCUUUGGUCAAAUAUUAUUUUUAUUAUUCCUUGUUGGGUUUAGACAAUAAACUAGAGAAUCGAAAUCCUUCUACUAUAUGUGUACCUGUAAUAGAGCAACGCUUGUUGCAGCUAGCUGCAGGAAGGACCAACUUGACUUGAUGGGGAUACAAUCACCAAGAAAGAUUCAUACCUGAACUUACCUUUAUGCACUGCACGAACUACCAAGAUAUUGUAUCUUCCUGUAUGAUCCAUAACUCAUAGACACAUGAGUAGCGAUGGGAUACUAUUUGGUAUGAACAACAUCAUCGUGUUGCAAUUCUAACAUGUAUUCAUUGAACUUAUUUAUCCACAUAAUAGUGAUGCAUCUUACGUAUC